GGGGUGGAGGUGGCCGGCGACGAGGGACGGAGGCGGCGCGACGGAGGCCGUGAUGAGGCGGCACAACGGAUGAGGGCAUGGCGGCGACGGAGGCGGUGGCGUUGACGGAGGCGGCGACGAGGCGGCACGACGAAGGCGGAGGCGAUGAGGUCGAGGGGGCGCGAUGGAGGAGGAGGCGGGUCGGGACGAUGGAGGAGGAGGCGGUCUGGGCAUGGGCGAGGUGGCCGGGGCGGCGGGUCGAUGGCGGUCGGGGCGAUGGGCGACGAGGACAACGGCAGCCGGCGAGGGAGGGCGCGGAUCUUUGUGACGGUGAAAAUUUUGCCUAAGUGUAACUAGCGUGGGAGGGGGGAGGUAGAAGAGGCUACAAUUGCUUUUAUCCCCUCCCCUUUUAUCCUGGUUCGUAAUUGAAUCCAAGACUAAAGGCCCUUUUGUCCCGGGUGCCAGUACCAACCGGGACAAAAGGUCCCCCCUUUUAUCCGAGUUGCAAACUGUAACCGGGAUAAAAGGGUACGUUCCCGGUGGGAAUCGAAAACUACCAUUUUAUCCCGGUUAUAGUUUUCAACCAGGAUAGGGGGUCUUUUAUCUCAGUUGCUAUUGGCACCCGGGAUAAAAGGGCCUUUUGUCCCGGUUGCUGUUGGCACCCGAGACAAAAGGGCCUUUUCCCACACUUUCGUCUCCCGCCUAUUUUUUGAAAAUGGAUUUUAUUUAUGUUUUCACUGCAUUCAGGAUGCAAAAACAAAAAAACUUUACAUAUUUUGAACAUACAAAAAUAUAUUAAAUUAGCAAGUAUAUUGACAAUAAGUGUGGAUGAGUCAUUAAUUCUAUACCAGUUCCUUUAGCUUCUAAAAUAAUUAUUUUACUCCAUCGCUAUGAUCAAGAAAUUAUCAAAUUAAAUAAUUUCAAUGCACGAAAAAUUCAAUUUAUGUAUGUGGUUAACUUUGUUCAUGUUUAUCUAAUAAACCUUCACCUCAACUAAUUUAAGCACACAUGAAAUCAUACAUAUGUCAAAUUAAAAAUUGUAUCAAGUAGUACAUAAAGCUGAAGUAAAUUUAGCGCAUUACAAUACAACGUUAUAAAAUUUCUUCUUCAUGAAAGUUCCUUGAUCAUAAUCGCGGUAUAAGUACGAAGCCUUUUCUUUGGAUAGCAGGAUGCUUGGGUCAACUUCAACAGCGAAUAGAGGCAUGCCAUCAAACUGAUCAUAAUCAUUUGAUUGGUUUGUUUUAUCCUCGACUCCCAUGAUUUUUUUUUACCUGGAAGAAUUAUGUGGCGCUUUGGCUCCCAUGGCUCUUUUAGAUUUCUCUUGGGUUUGCUGACAUGUCCUUCACAUAAAAAAUCUGAUGCACAUCAUUGGCAAGUACGAAUGGUUCAUCACUGUAUCCAGUCUUGCUCAGAUCCACUAUUGUCAUUCCGUCCUAAUCUUUGGUUACGGCAGUUAGCUUCACCCAAUUGCAAAGAAAUAGAGGGAUGUAGAGCGGUCCGUAUUCGAGUUCCCACAUCUCCUGUAUGAAACCAUAAUACGACUCCUUGCCAUUGUUUCUAUCUAUGGCAUCUAUGCAGACACCACUAUUCUGGUUUGUGCUUUUCUGGUCCUGGGCUCUCGUGUAAAAUGUAUAACCAUUUAUCUCAUAGCCUUGGAAUUUCAUGAUUGUGCUACCAGGUCCCCUGGCUAACCAAGCGAGCUGUGGGUGAAUCUUAGAGUUACCCAUAAGUUGUUGGCGCAACCAGGAGGGAAAAAUUUUCAUGUGAUGACGUGUAAGCCAAGCAUCGGAUUUCGUCGGGUUUUUGGAAACUACCAUCUGUGUGUUGCUCGAUAUACGGAGCCACAAAGGAUGACUAUUGCAGAACAGUGUAGUGUGCCUUGUUGAACAAAUCAGUAUCAUUGCUCAAACUUUAUUUCCUUCUAAGGGUGCCCAUUCCCCGCAGUCUCCCCUCAUGGCGUGAAGUUGGAACCCCAAUCGAGUCAAUUGAGUCAAUAAAAUCAACACAAAACUCGAUCACCUCCUCUAUUCCAUAUCCCUUGGCGAUGCUUUCUUCUGGACAGGCACGAUUAAGAACUUAGUUUUUUAGACUGACAUGAACCUCUCGAAAGGCCACAUAUUGUGCAAGUAUACAGGUCCGAGAAUACCAAUCUCUUUUACUAGGUGAACCAGGAAGUGCGUCAUAAUAUUGAAGAAGGAUGGUAGAAAUACCAACUCAAAACUCACAAGAUAUUGCACCACAUCGUUCUGUAGCUUUAAUAGCUUGGAUGGAUCGAUUGCCUUCUGCGAAAUCGCAUUGAUAAACGUGCAUAGCUUUAGGAGCGACAAUCAGAUAUUUUCUGAUAGAACACCCCUCACUGCAACCGGAAGCAACUGGGACAUCAACAUGUGGCAGUCAUGGGUCUUGAGAUUUGUAAACUUUUUUUGUUUUAUAUUUAUUAAUCCCUUUAUAUUCGAGAAGAAUCCAGAUGGGAUUUUCGUACUAUUCAAGCAUUUAAACAUGCUAUUCUUCUCUUACUUGCUUAGAGUGUAACUGGCAGGAUGUAAGUAGUGUUGUCCGUUAUCUCUCUUUUCCGGAGGUAGGUCAUCUCGUUGCCCCAUGGCUUUCAGGUCCUAUCGUGCUUCCAAUGUAUCUUUCAAGGUCCCAUAAACACCCAUGAAGCCUAGCAUGUUCACGCAAAGAUUCUUCAUUAGGUGCAUCACAUCUAUUGCGUUGCGGACCUCUAAGAUUUCCCGAUAAGGUAGCUCACAAAAUAUUGACUUUUUCUUCCACAUGGGUGCAUGUCCGUUAUCAUCGUUCUGAACAGGUUGGCUACCCUGACCCUUUCCAAAGACUACAUUUACAUCCUUUAUCAUCUCGAAGACAUGCUUUCCAUUACGGUGUGCAGGUUUUUUACGAUCGUCUGGCGCCCCUUUGAAAUGCAUUCUGCUCUUUCUCAGCUGGUGGUGAGAUAGGGAGAAAUCGACGAUGACCCAUAUAGACGACCUUCUUACAAUGCUUCAAAUACAUGCUGUUUGUGUUGUUUAAACAGUGAGUGCAGGUCCCAUAUCCCUUGUUUGUCUGCCCCGAAAGGUUACUCAGUGCAGGCCAAUCAUUGAUGGUUACGAACAAAAAUGCUCAUAGAUUAAAGAUCUCUUGUUUAUCCUCAUCCCACACACGUACACCUUCUUCCUUCCAAAGCUGUAAAAGUUCAUCAACCAACGGUCUUAGGUACACGUCAAUGUUGUUGCCGGGUUGUUUUGGGCCUUGGAUAAGUGCUGGCAUCAUAAUGAACUUCCGCUUCAUGCACAGCCAAGGAGGAAGGUUGAACAUACAUAGGGUCACACAAGUACUAUGACCACUACUCAACUCACUAAAUGGAUUGAAUCCAUCAGUACUUAAACUAAACCUUAUGUUCCUUACUUUACUUUCAAAGUCCGGGAAUGCUCUAUCAAUUGAUCUCCACUGACCCCAUCUGCGGGGUGUCUCAGCAUCUCAUCUUCCAUACGUUCUUCUUUGUGCCAUCGUAUGAACUUAGCAUUCCCCUUGUUUCUGAACAAGCGCUUCAAGCGUGGUAUUAUAGGGAAAUACCACAUGAUCUUCAUGGGAACUCUCUUCUUGGGAGACUGCCCCUCAACAUCACCUGGAUCAUCUCGCCUGAUCUUAUACCGUAGUGCUUUGCACACGGGACAAGCAUCCAUUUUCUCAUUUUUAUCACCACGAUAGAGGAUACAGUCAUUAGGGCAUGCGUGUAUCUUCUAAACCUCCAAUCCGAGAGGGCAAAUAAUCUAUUUAGCUUCAUAUGUUGUAGACGGUAAUUCAUUAUUCUCUGGAACAAUCUUCUUGGCAAUGUUCAACAUCCCCUGAAAUGGCUUAUCGGACACACUAUUUUUUGCCUUCCAUUGCACAAAUUCUAGUGUCGUACCUAGUUUUUUAUGGCGCUGCUGGCAAUCUGGGUACAACAAUUUUUGGUGAUCAUCUAUCAUGCGCUGCAACUUUGCUGCUUCCUUCUCAGUUUCGCAAUCUCUUUGUGCAUCUCGUAGCACCUGACCAAGGUCAUCAGUAGGGCCAUUUUCUGCAAACUCAUCUUCAUCAGCCUCGCUCAUUGUAGUAUCUGUAAAGUUUCGCCUGCAGCCCAGUCCGAAAUGUUGUCAUCAUCCUCCUCCUCUUCGCCGUCUUCCAUUACAACCCCUCUUUCACCGUGCUUGGUCCAAACCAAAUAGUUAGGCAUGAAACCGUAUCUAAAUAAGUGGCUGUGAAUAGUCCCCCAGGAAUCCUUUGAAUAGUCCUUCUUGUUACUGCAUUGGAAGCAUGGACAACAUACGAACCCAUUCUUUGGCUUGUUCGCUUUGGCCACUUCGAGAAAAUAAUGCAAGCCAUCAAUAAACACCUUGCUCCGUCUGCCUGCAUUAUAUAUCCAUUGCCGAUCCAUCUGCAUGGUAUUACGCAUGAAAAUAGAUUACGCGUGAAAAUAGAUUACACUUGAAAAUUGAUUACACAUGAAAAUUGAUUCACUAUUGAAAGCAUGUCAAACGUUGUAGUGCAAAUAAUGCUGAAAGUUUUUAUAUAGAUAGAAAUACACAUAUUUAAAUUACAGAUACAAACAACAUGAUACACUACGAUAAGCCAUCCACUGAUUAUUAUCUAGGAGAACUUUGAGCAUCCUUGGGCGGUGAAGACGAAGGUUCCGCUGACCCAGCCUCAUCCUGUGGUUUAUUUGUGCCUCCUGAAACGGUAGUACUAAGUGGACGUGAAACACCCGGGACUGACGGUGGAGCAUAAUGACCACCAAAAGGAGGUUCCUAACCCGCCGCAAUAGCAUCUUCAUGAAGUUUCUGCAAAUAACGAAGCAUUGCUUUCUCCAAUGUGCUCAUUUUCUUCGGCUUAUCCUGAGGGCUAACUAUGGUUUUCCCCUUGCCACAAGAGGAACGACGAUCGCCCCCACCAUCACCACUUCCACCAGUAGCAGAGGCCAUCUAUGUACAGAAAUUCAUACCUUAGCACUGCAGAACUUGUUGAACUUGAAGACCAUGAUCAUCUGCCGAGCAUGUUCUCAACUGGGCGGCACCGUACUUCAUCAUGGAAGAGUUUUGAUUCUAUGAAAAAGGGGACAUGGUCUUCCAUGAUGUCUGUAUCUGCUCUUUCUCGUAGAAUCGGAGCUCCUCCUUGACGUCCGUUGCUGCUCGGCGGAGAACAUGCAAACCGAGAUGGACACGGUAAUGCAAGUUCGACAAGUAUGGAUUUGAAAAACCAUAUUGAAUUUGACAAGAUAAACCAUCUAGACAAGGGUAGCAUCAUUCUUAAACCACUACAAGGAUACAUACUAUGUAUGACACAUCAAUCUCCCUCACAUUCUAGCUCAAAAUCAUCUCCAUUUUCUACUUUACAUUCUAGCAAAUAAACUAUCCAUCUCCAUUCUACACAUCAAGUUGUUUUAGCUAAUACGAAUCGUAUAUAGCAAGCAAACUAUCCAUCACAUUCUAGCUCAAAAACAUGUAUAAAUACAAAUCGUCUUCAUUCUCCCUCUUUCUAACAAACAAACUCAUUUUUCUUCCUCUCUAAAGAAUAAAUCAAAGCAUAACACGAGGAUGAAGUAGCAAACCUUCACAACACUUUGGAUGAUUAAAAUACCCACGAAAAUAAGGGAAAAAACUUCGAGCAGCACCUCCGUUGCUUCGGCACCACCGGAGAGUAGGUGAAGCUUAGCUCUCUGUCUUUGUGGUGGACUGGUUCGGGCUGGAGGAGGAAGAAAGGCUCUCUGUCUUGGUAUAUAAUGAGGGAUGAGUUUUUAUCCCGGUUGAAAACUCCAACUGGGAUAAAAAGGAACACCUUUUAUCCCGGUUGAAAGUUUAUUCCUGACUGGAGGCUCCAACCGGGACAAAAGGGACACGCCACCGACGCUCGGGAACUAGCUGUUACAACUGGGACUAAAGGGGGACCUUUAGUCCCGGUUGCAAAUACCAACCGGGAGUAAAUGUUCGCCCAUUCCAGCCUACCGUGGUGCAUAACCUUUUCUCUCAAGUCUAGAUUAAACCGGAACUAAAGGGGGAGAAUCGAAAGUCAGUUCUCUACUAGUGAUUGGGCCUUAGUGGCAACAAUGACCAUUAAAAAUUAAAAUCUUUUGUGGCUACUUUGCAUUUUAGCCAUAUGCGCCCGAUAUCUGAUACCUUAGGUGGUGUUUGGAUUAGUAGUUCAUGGACUAAACUUUAGCCCCUAAAAUUUUGUCCUGCUGGGCCGUUCGGAUCCAUGAAUUAAAAUGGGCUAAAAUCAAUAAAUGUUAUUGAAAAAGACACUAUUACCCUCUUUUCCUGCCCCUGGCGCAUACACCUUUUUCCCCAACCUUUGCACUCACCGCCCUUCUUCCUCCUCCAAAUCCGCAACGCGCACGGCGACCAGAAGCCACCGCCGCUGCCGACGGUUUUGCUCUUCAUUAUCUCGAAAAAGGAGAAAAUACCUUCGCAACAGGUUUUGCUAGGGAAUAAUUGGAUUCAGGAUCGGAACUAUCAACCUCCAGCACCUAGGAUUCAUUUCCCAGCACUUCACUGAAUUCCUACUUCUUUGGCGGGGGCAACCAGAGAAGCCCAGCUACGUCCAGACAUUCAAGACAGCAUCUAUUGGAAGUUAACCGAAGAUGGAGCAUGCACGACAGGAUCAGCAUAUUGAGCAAAAUUUCUAGCAUCUGUACAAACUACCUUUCACACAUUCAAACGUGGGCGUCACAAAAGUGCAGGUUAGCUAGCCCUUCAAAAUAGAAUCGGAACACUUGAAGUUCGUGGAUGCACUACUGAACCAUCGAUCUUUAAAGCGCGUUUGGAUCCGGUGGCAAACCUCUCGUCUCGCCUUGUUUGCACAGAAGUUGGAGCAGUUGAUGAGUUUGGUUCCUUGACGUGCUGCCUAGGGACCUGUGCAAGCGAGUUUUUACUUGCUGAAAGCAAGCCAGCCGGAACCGCUCUCCGCCGGCGGCGAGCCUUGCCUGGCAAAGCGAGGUUAGACGAAGCUUAUGUCCAAAACCAAACGUGCCCUUGGUAUCCGUCACAGGCCGGCCGCAAAAUUAUGCAUCUGCGCGGCCGCCUCCAUCAUCCCGGACAUCUUCGAUCGGACCCCGUGGCACCGGGCCCACAAGAGGUAUCCCACACCCAAACCUCAGCACAGCACCGACGAUUCACCAAUUCAUUUCUCCUGCGGCCCACCUAUCCUUUCUCUCCUGUUCUCUCUCUCGCGCUAGAGAACUCCGGCAGCCUCAUGGCACCCCAACAUCCUCACGCGCGCGCGUCGCAGAUUCCCUAAGCGGCGGGCGCGCGCGCUGCCUCGAGCGCGCCUCCGGAGGCGAGCUGCUUCGGAUCGAGGCGUGCUGCGGCCGAUCCAGAUGGUUUGGAGCAGAUUGAAGCGGCUGGAGGAGUUCCUCACGGAGGAUCUCGACAUGGGGCGGAGUUCAAAUCCAGAGCUCUGGAGAUGAAGGAGCUCGAAUCGCCUCUGCCUCAAUCGCGCACCGGCAGCCCUCUCGUCGAUCUGGUUCCCUGCCGCCUCCGCAUCGAUGUGCUGCAAGUGCCACAUUUCUGCAGGGCUGCGAGGUCGUCGUGGCCGAGCAACUGGUGGGCAAGGCCACGGCGAUUGAAGAGGAACCUGGGUGCCUCCAUGAGCCGGGCGAGCACAACGCUACGCUGCCACUCGUCGGUCUCCGGCCAAAAUUGGUGAGGGGAAUAUGUUCAAAAAGCCUCCAAUUUCGUUUCCCCUUGGCAUUCCUCUCCGAUUUGGUGCAUGGGAGUCAGAACCAUUGGUGCUCCUAUUUUAACUCUUCUUCUGGCUGUGCCCGUGAGAUGGUGGUUGAAACGAUCAAUCGUGCAAUUCUAACUCUUAGCUCUACAGAUACUACCCCUUUUGCCUCAUUGUUCCCUUUGAUGCUUGGUCUGUGGCUUUAGUGCUUUGUUAGACGGGUGAUUAUGAACGGAUGGGUAAUAUAUGGAUGCAAAUAUGGUUUCUGUUUUGCUAAGUGAUAAUCUAAUCAAUGGCCUAGACUGUUCUAAAUGAUUGAUUUGAUUGGAGGAGCACAGCAUCUCAUCAAGCUCUUUCUCAAUUAUUAGACCAGAAUUAGUUGAUACUUUAUUCAGCCAUGUGAUUCUUUAAUUACGUCCAACUUGGCAUCAAGGAGAUAUUACUACUUCCCCCCUUGUUACUACCAUUUCCUAACCAGAUGGGUCAGACCUGAGUGUUCAUCUAAAGUUCAGAGAAUAGUAGUGUUUUUACAAACUGGUAGUAAGCAGGAAGGUCGUGAAAGGGCCUCUAGCCUAGUGGUUUGAGCACCAUUUGGGAGCGAAUUAAACAUGUCUGAAAUAAAAAUAUUAUAUAACUUGCUAGAAGUGUUCUGUUCACAUAUAGAUGCCAUGCAUUUUUUAUGUACAUUAAAUUUGAUGUGAUAUUAGUCAGAACUAGUGUAUGAUUUAUAAGAGCUUCUCAACUGUAGUUUUCUAGUUUGAUGUGCUUCAGUUUUUUGGAACUAAACUACUGGACAUGAUUCUGCAUGCUGAAAGCAGUUAGAACUAUUUUUUACUUGUAGACUUUGUAUUUUUGUUGGUGAUAGCUGUUUAGUUCUGUUCUUAUUUGUCUCCAUUGGUAAUCUGAGUACACAGCUGUGUAACUGUGAGUUCUUAUUUGUUAGCAAAAUGUGUUGGUUUCCUGUGGCUUAUCAAUGCUUUUUGUCUGUUAUGAAUGUUUGAUGACUUCGCACUGAUGUUCUCCAAUAUGUAAAUUGAAAUAUACAUAUUUGAAGCUAUGGAGCUUGCAUAGGCCUUGAUGGUCUACCUCCUACCUAGAUUAAUCUUUGUUGGAGAGGGGUGGGGUUUUUUCUUCUUUCGUUUUGUGUUGAUUGUUUUCUAAAUGCAUUACUGUAUAUAUGUACUACUUAUCCACUAGACAGGUCCAAUUUUGAAAUCUAUGCAGUACAGCUGAGGCUCAUCUGAUUGUUUUUUUUCUAUAGUUACGCAUUUUAUCAUUUUAACUUAGGCAAAGUUAUUGUUUUAGAUAGGCAAAGUACUGUUCUUAACUAAGCAAAUAUGAUUUUAUUCAAUUAAGCAAAUUACUGUUGUCUCUAGUUUGGCAUUUCACCUGUUUAAUUUAGGCACAUUUAUUCUUUCAGCUAGGCAAAAGUACUAUACUAACUAGGCAGAUCUUAUUUUUUAAUUAAGCAAAACAUUGCCUUGUCUAGUUAGACAUUUUUACUUGUUCCAGUUAGGUAGAAUUUUCCUGCACUUGGGAAUUCUUAUUCUUAUGCUUUGGUAGUUUUCAUUUCAUUGCCAUGUUCUAUCCUGACAUGGAAAUGUUCUUCCCUGUUGUCAACCUAGCACACAGGAAAUCAUCAAGUGUUCUUCCCUGUUCAGUCCUAACAUGGCAACAUAAGCUGGAGAUAUCAUUCAGUUGCUGGAAUGGGAAGCCACUGCCAAUGUACGAACAACCACCACUACAUCAUCUCAGACAAGGUGAGUGCACUUUGCAAUCUGGUUUCGACUCCUUGGCUUCCGCCAUAUUCAUUGCCUAAUACUAUACUGAACCUCUGCCAUCCAUUGCACUGCAUCAGAAUAGAUAGCCUGUGUGGAGUGUGUUGCACAUGUACGAUGAUGCCAAGUAAAAGCAAUUAAUAUGAGCUACUGUAAGUUCUGACAACUAGGAGUGUGUUGCUACUCCAAUUAACUUCAUGACAGUGCAAUAUAGAGUAUACUGCCUGAUGCUAUGUGCAUGAAAUUUAAUGGUGUUAGAAAAUGCAACGUUUUCCUGCAGGAGCAAAAGGUGGGAUUGACCAUCAAACUUAAGCUGCAGCCAAGGCUGGUGGAGGGCUAGGUACAUAUAACUCAUUUAAACAUCUCUUCCUUAUGCUUAAAAUGCUUUUGCUAGUUCACUUAUGUUUCAAAUGCUUCAGAUGCACGUUAGGUUUCAAAAGCUUGUUUAGAAACACAUAAUCUGUAUUGUAGUCUUGGUCAGAUAAAUAUGCACUUUGCUUUAGAUUGGUGUGCCUUCACUUAUGUAGUUAUUUACUUUUCACAUGUCAUAGAAUCUGUUUUUGUAUUUUUUGUUGCAACUCAUUAUAUAUCUUGUAACACACACAGACUAUGUGCUUCUACAAAGGGGCAUUUUGUAUAAUCUGUACAAUGCUGUCACAAGGGGUUGUUUUGGUUUUACUCAUAACCGGUAUGCAUAUGGGGUGGUCCAGUUUAGAAUCUAAGCAAUUUACUAAGCAAUUUAGCGUAUACAUGCCAAGAAUUUUAUAUGAAAUUGGAAGCAAUUUCAUAUGAGCCACUAUGCAAUUGUGCUUAUGAGCCACUAUGUAGUAUUUGGCUAUCCUGUUAGUACCUCUACGUCUGUUAGUUCUGAAUAAUCGAAGUUAGAGAUAUUAGCAAUUCUACAAUGAAGCAUUGUAGGUUGUGCAACAUACAUGCUGUCACACUGUAGUCUUUUUUUUUCAUUACAUUGCAGGUCAUGUGCAUGGAAGCAAAUAUCAAGUACCAAACAGAGAAGCAAAUGUGUUUGCUGUUGUCCUAGUAGUACACAUUGCAAAUACGAGUGUAUUAGUUACGGACAACGCAUUUUUUCCUGUGCUUCUGGUGUGCACAUUUUUCCUGAUUGUGUAGUUAUGAAAAAUGAAUGCUAGUGUGAUGCAGGCAAUAACAUGGUAGGAUCAUUUCUGAGAUGAAACGUGCAGGCAUCAAUAUUUUUUUGUCGUAUCCAUUACGGGGAGCUGGCAAGUGGCAGCGCUGAGGGAGGUUGGGGGAGUGCAUGCACCGAGGACAGCUUUUACCCGAAUAGGAAUGCUUGGGGACUGCUCGUUUAAUUAUUGCCUAAAAGGGUCAGGCCGUACUAGCGGCCUAAUUUACGGCGCUUCCAAUAUAAAAUAGAUUUUAAAUACUGGAAGUUUAUAAGGAAAAAAACUAUCGGAGGAAUCUUGGCGGAUUUGGAUUCGUUGCUGACAAGUUGGAUUGGCUAGUAUUGGAGGUAGAUUGGUUGCUAUGCUUAUUUAUGUGCGGAUUUUAUUUUGGACUUCGCCCACUAUCCGGUUUACAAGUAUAUGACUUAAAUGGACAUUAUUUUCUUUAUAAAAAUAUGAAUGUGUUUAUUUUACUAUUCAUGGGGAUGUUGUAAAUGUGUACAUACUUCAACGGAUUGUUAUUCAGGACAAGGAAGAUAUAUUGAAAAUGUGACAUUAUUGUUUUUUUUAUAGUUUUCUAGUUAUAGCUUGAUUACUUUUUUAUGAAGCUAAAUAAUGUAUGUAGCUAUACAUAGCAUUUGAAUACAAACCGGAAAUUUAAAUUUUUAUGUUUCCAAACUAACUAUUUUGAAAAGUGUUGAUGGCCAAAAUGCGUCUAGAUCCACUACAAGAAAUCUUUUGACCGAUAAAAAUUUGAUGAUGAAUGUCAUCAUAAAUUUAUGAUUUUUUUUGCUGAGAACAUCAUCAGUUCUCAUCAAAUAUUGCAUCCGACCAAAUUUAGUGAUGAAGUUACGAGAUGUUAAAAAAGUUGCCAUCGAAACCAAAUAGAAAACACCACCAUCGAAACCAAAUAGAAAACACCACUUAUUGUUACACGGUGAUUUUGUGAUGAUUUCAAGGUUUGCAAAAAUACCAUAAACUGAUUAGGAUCCAACAUGUAAGAUUAAGUUGAAAAAUAGGAUGGAAAAAUAAGGUGAAAGGGUGCUCAUCUCGGUGUCGAACCUGUUAUCCAUCGAUUGGGAACUGUUGAGCCAAUAGCUAUGCUGGAGCCGUUUGUCAGUUUGUAUCUUUAAAAUUUUUUAUUAUAGUAGUAGAUGAGCCGUGCAUACCCACAUCUAAGUAUAUCAUGAGUUGCUGCAAUAUAUUUUGAUACUUGAUGUGGGAAAAACCCACCUAGAGAAAAUCGGCAUGCUUGGGGUGAGAAAAGCCCCCGCUCCCUGGGCAAAUUGGCAUGCAUAUCUGCGGCUCAGUAGUGUAGUGGCUCGGUGGAAAUGGCACAUGGAGUUAGAAUGGAAAAGGAAACAAACUCCAAUCAGGUGAGCUUCUAGUUCCAAUUGUUGUAGCCCCUUGUCCCCAUUGUCCUUGACUACGGGUUAUCCUACUGUAGAUCUGGGUUGAAGAAAUUACAUUUCAAUUUUAUGAUGUUGUUACGUUUUAAUUUGGAUUGGUGGUAUGAAUUGAUAGGUUCUACGGUCGCUUGGAGUCAUUGAUAGCUUCAGAACGGGGUCGCCUGCCCAUGCCAUUACCUUUAUGGAUCCUAAAUAUGAGUGAUUGUUGAUUCAAAAUUAAUUGUCGAUCCUUGCAAAGAUUGGCCAUGUAUAGAUGUCAUUGACAAAGAUCCAAAUCGGUUGUCUCAAGCCCGAAGUGUGGAUCCAAAGUUUUCCAAUAACAACGUAGAAACCACUUCUAGUAUGCCUAUACUCGACAGGCGGUGCAACAAGUUCAAACCGGAGAUGUUAAAGCCAAAAAUAACUUGAAAUUGGUGUUUGGAAAACUAUUGAAUCCAAAGGCCAUAGCAAGCAUAAAAAGAAAAAGCCGAAGCCAAAUGAGAAGCUUUCGGCUAGUUCCAAAGACAAAAGAAUGUCAAUAUGUUAGUUGGCCUAAAAAUUCCAAGCACUCAAAAUCUUAUCCAAGGCAAAAUUUCCAUGGUCAGAAUCAACAAUGGAAUAAUUUUCCUACAUCAAUGUUGUUUCCUUCACAUGGAUCACCUACACCAAUGCCGUGGGGUUCAUAUUGUAGCAUAUCUUAUUCUUAUCCAUCAUGUUAUAAUUCAUGUAUGCCACCUUUUCCUAGAUAUUUGUGUCCAAAUUAUAUUACCUACAAGGAGCCGGCAAUUAAUGAGCCACCACAAAUAGAUAAUGACAAUUUUGAUAAGGAAUCAGUCUACGUACCGAAAUAAAUGUAAGGUGAUUAAACAAGUCUACAGUGUCAAGAAAGAUGGUAGAUUGAAAAAAACUUAGAUUUGAUACUAGACACAAAAAGCUGACUAUUGAAGAAAAAUUAGCUAGUUCUAUUGAUCCAAUUGUCCCCAAUAAUGAGCAUGAUUUGGAUAAUAUAGCUGAACAGAAAUAAAGUUCGGUUGGGGGCAAGAUGAUAUCAAAGUGUCUAGUUUUACCAAAACUAGUCCAACCAGUGUUGAAACCUAUCCAACUGGUUUUGAUAGGAAUUAUAGAAAAAACUGAUUUUACGAAAAACCAGUCCAACCGGUGUUGAAACCGGUCCAACCGAUUUUGCUACGAAUUAUAGAAAAACUGAAAAUUUCAGAUCAAACAACAUGGUGAUAAGGAAGAAGCUAAGAUUUGAUGAUCUGUUACAUAAUAUCAGAAAAUAGCCUCCCAAAAUCAAAACAAUCAGUUUGAGAGCAAUCAAAGGAGGAAUUUUUGGUCAUCAAGAGCAAAGAAGCAUCAACGGUCAUCUUAUUGGUCUUCAUAAUUUUCUCCAUCGAUGCUUGUACCAUAGAGUGCAUAUCUAAGUAUAAGUAAUUAUAAUCCAUAUUUUUGUACAAUCCUUGAUUCUCAUUUUAUGAUUAUUAAUAUUAUGCUUAUACUUUACCAAGGAGCCAUAAAUUAUAUGAUCGGCUACCAUGGCCGCAUCAAAAUUUCUAUUAUUAAGUAUGCUUAGAUGUUUCAAAGCUGAAAGUAACUGUUUCAUAAAUAUUCAUAUGAUGUUGUACUCGUUAGAAUAUUAUUUUGGCUACAUUAGUAUCCAUAUAAGGUGUAAAAAUCAUCAUGUGUGUGAUGUAUUGUUCAUCAUCGUUCUUAGAUAAUUUUGAUCAUUAAGAAUGUUUUGUGAUGUGCAAGCUUUACCAAAAAAUAGGGGGCCAUGCGUGGAUGAUCAAAAUUGAAAGAUUUGGGCUAACCGAUCUCUAAACCGGUUAGACCAGUUUGAUUGAAAAUGCUCAAAUAGUAAAUAGGAUUUCACCAUUGUGUAUCUCUCAUCGAGACAAUCAAAAUGCAUAUGUAGAACAUCCGAUUUGGAGUUCGGAUGAGAGAGUUAUACUCUCGGGAAGAUCUGCAUGCGAGGAAAGACGUCAGACCGGUUUGCAAACAAGUCAGCCUGGUUUGGUCUGUGUAGUCUAAGUUAGGAGUUAUAUUUUAACAUGAGAUUUGUAAGGAUUUUCAACUCCUAACGGGGCAAGACCGCCCAUCCUUAUAAAUAUAAAGGGCUACGGCCAAUUGAGGCCAUCCCAAUCGAUAAAAAACUAAUUUAUUACUUUUUAUCCUUUACUUUUCCACUUUCCCCUACUUUUCCAACCCAUGCGCUGUCUUCUCUUGUCUCAAUGGUAUGAUAAUUAAGACGUCCUACCUGGCGUGCUGAGCCUAGGGCAACUCAAGGUGUACCUGGUGCGACGGGCCCUCCCGGGCGUGCGUUUGUUGGCCCUUCAUCGAGCUCCCCAAUGAAAUCGGUCUAACCGGCUUGUCAAAUCUGACUGACUGGUUUGGCAUAGAGGUACUGCAAGGAGCUCCUCUGAGCGCUGCACGAGUAUUUGGCGCAGCACAUUUUCAUAUUAACAGUGACUUUCCCGUGAGUAUUUCAAUGGAUUGACAUGGGAAGUGUAACUAUAGAUUUGUUAACCGAGGCUUUGGACUUGGCCUUGCCGAUGAAUUCGACAAGAAAAAUAGCAAUGUAACACAAGAGGGAAGAUCAGCUAUGACAUUGCCAUCCUAUAUGACCUGAAAGACCAUCUUGAUGGCUUAUGGAAAAUUUUUAUUUACCAAAAAAUUAUACUGAACAAAAGAAUUUCUUUCACGACAUCACCCCGCAAACAUGAGAAGGCCCGGAGACAUGGCCUACGGCUACCAUUGUAUGAUUAAAACUCUCUGAUAGAAAUUCACCUUAUUACAAGACAAAUAAAAUUGGAUUUCUUUAAAUAGAAAAACUAUAUUUCUAUAUAAGGUAUUCUCUUUUCAUGGAUUCAUGUUUCACGUCACAAAAUAUAACGAUAAAAAUGACGAUGAUGUGGUCAAGACCAUUCGGAAAAAGAAAAUGAACUGUUUGAAUUUUUUUAAAGUAAAAAAGGAGUCUAAAUGUUAGCAUGAAAAAAUCUAGCUACCCGCACAAAUAAUAAAAUCCAAGCUUAGUGAGAUGCUUUGGGUUGAGCAGGGGGUAUCUUAUUGGAAUAAAUAUCUUUAUUAAAUAUAACAUGCCAAUAGUUUGUGGUCUUUAUAUUAUUACAGAAUUACAGAAUGCUUAAACAGCCAAGAAGUUCCACUUGAUCUUUACAUCAAGCCUUAUUCGAAAAGAAAACAUGAACGAAAGCCAAGGUGUGAAUCAUAAAGAAACACAUCCACAUGCUGGUGCCUUUACAGCACUCUGCAGCGAGCGAAGCAGAGCACCCUAGCCAGUGUUCUGCAUGCCGGCGGCGAUGCCCUUCAUGGUGAGGAUGAGCGUGUCCUCCAGCCCCGGCCCGUACUCGCUCGCCGGGUUGAGCUUCACAAUCCCGCGCGGCUGGUUCUCGUCGGCGAACUCCUUGGACAGCGGCGGCUGCGGCGUCACCUUGAAGUUCGGGUCCCUUAUCCUCUUCAGGGUGUAGGCCUGCCACACGUUAAGAAUGGUGAUGUAGGGGUCGCGCAGCCGCAGCUGCUGCUUCAGGCCGGGAUCGCUUUCAAGGAUUUCCUUGUGCCCAGCAACCUGCACAAAGAUGGUGAGUAGUCAGGAUUUCCUUGUGCCCAGCAAUCUGCACAAAGAUGAAAUUCAUUCAUAUGAGUUUUAAUUUAUUACCUGCAGGAUAAGCUUCUCUGUUUCCACGUAGUUGUUCCUGAGCUGCUCCCCGAAUGGCUUGAGUUCGUCGGCGACGAGCAGCUGGUCGUAGAGGCCGGCGAUGGUGGGGUCUCCCUUGGCUAAGACCAUCUCGAGCAGGUCCAGGGUGACCCUGAAGAAUGGCCACUCGUUGUACAUCUCCUUGAGCAUCUGGAAGUUCUUGAUAUCCUUCUUCAUGGCGUGCUUGAACGCGGCGCCGAACCCGAGCCACACCGGGAGGUGGAACCUCGUCUGCGUCCACGAGAAGAUCCACGGGAUCGCGCGGAGCGACUCGAUGCCGCCCUUCGGCUUCCUCUUCGCCGGCCGGCUGCCGAUGUUCAACCUGCCGUACUCCGUCUCCGGGGUAGCCGACCGGAAGUACUCCACGAACCGGGGCUCCCUCAUGACGACGGAGCGGUACUCAUCGGUGGCGACGGCGGCGAUCUCGUCCAUGAGCGCGCGCCACUCAGGCUUGGGGGAGACCGGCGGGUGCAUGCCGUGCUCGAGCGUGGCGGCGGUGAAGCGCUGCAGCGUCCGGAAGCAGAGGUGCUCUUCGCCGAAGGAGGUUUCGAUGACCUCGCCCUGCACCGUCACACGGAGGGACCCGUUGAUGGUGUCCGGCGGCUGGGACAGGAUGGCGAGGUGAGUCGGCCCGCCGCCCCUGCCGACGGUGCCGCCGCGGCCGUGGAACAUGGUCAGCUUCACGCCGUAGCGCUUCGCCACCUUCGCCAUCGCCUCCUGCGCCUUGUACAGGUGCCACGCCGCCGACAGCCGGCCGGCGUCCUUGCCGGAGUCCGAGUAGCCGACCAUCACCUGCUGCUUGCCGCCGAUCCGGUUCAUGUACCAGUCCAGGGAGAAGAGCCGCUCUAUGGACGCCGGCGCCGACUGCAAGUCGGCGAGCUUCUCGAACAGCGGGACCACGGGCAGCGGCUGCUUCACGUGGCACUCACGCUGCAGGAGCUCGACGGCGAGCACGUCGGAGGGCGCCGUCGCCAUGGAGAUGAUGUACGGGCCGAAGCUGUCGCGGGGCAGCUCGGCGAGGACGUGGAAACAUCCGAGCACGUCGGCGAUCUCCUCGGUCUGGGGCAUGUCCUUGCUCAGCAGUGGCCGCUUGCCGCGGAGCUCGGAGAGCAGCCACUCCUGGCGCUUCUCCUCGGACCACUCGCGGUAGGACCCGAUGCCGAGGUGCGUGGUGAUCGCGUCGAUCACGUCGGUGUGACGCUCCGACUCCUGACGGAUGUCCAGCUUCACCAUGGAGAGCCCGAACGUCGAGACCUGCCGCAUGAAGUCGAGCAGGCUCCCGUCGGCGAUGGUCUUGUCACCACAGUCACACAGGGAUUUGUAGCACAGCUCAAGGGGCUCCAGGAACUGACCAAAUUUGAAGGGUUCCACAGUGACAUUAGUUAAACUAUAUUAUGAUAAGGAGCAUGACAUUAACAAAUAACAAUGUUUAUGGAACCCUCAAAAUAACAAGAGGAGCAUGAUGCCGGAUUACCUCUUCAACAUUCUUAAAGGCCGAGUCCUCCGGAAUGUCAGAAAAUCCACUAGUUAGCAGAUGGCGCGAGCGUUCGCGUGUGCUGUACAAUUUGUCCCUCACAUAACCAAGCACCACGCGAUACGGUUCAUUUGCAGGAAGUUGCCUCCAGAAUUCUGCACCAACGAAUUCUCUUCAGAAAAUUGGCAAACUGACAAGGCUGAUUCUUGUUAACAUCAUAGAGACUCCUCUUGAAGCCUCCACAUGAAGGCACCUAGGAUUCUAAGUGGGCACUUUAAAAAAAGAAAAAAUACUAGAAAUUUUCAAAAAAGCAAAACAUCUAGCCAUCUAUCUAUUCAGUAUACUUAAAUCAUCCAAUUCGUUGAACUAUUAUGUUCCUGCCAUUAUGAAAAUAGUUUAAAGUAACCUCAGUAUAUAUCUAAAUUACCUACAUAUGCCAUUACAUAAAAUAAACUAAAGUACACCUAAUCUUUGUCUAAAUUACCCACUUAUACCAUUAUUAAGAAUAGUUUAAAAUAACCCACUAAAUUUGUUUCAAAUUGCCCACCACUUACAUUAUAAAAAAAUAACUUAAAGUAAACCCUUAAGUUUACAUCUAAAUUACUCACAUAUUCCAUGUUUAAAAAUAUAUCCCAAGAUACACCAAUAUAUUAUUCUAAUCAUUAAGGUAUAUACGCAUGAUGUAUGUCACCAUUUAUAAAUAUAUAGAGGAAGUGAUAAGAAUACAUAUUUUCAUGUUAAAAAUAUAUCUCAAACUUAGGUUCCAUUAAACAAAUUUAAGAGUGUAUCUACGGUGCAAGUGAAACAAGAUAUUAUAAAUAUAGAUGAAAAUGUUAUAGAGUAAUUACUACUAAAAUCUUUUAUAAUCCGAUGAAGAUAAUAAAUAUUAGAAUAUUAAAAAAAUGAGAGUGAGUUCAAGGUAACAGUUUUGAGUGUUUAGCUAUGUGCUCUUAUUUUUUUUUAAUUGGAGAAUCUACAUUAAUCCCCAUGAGACGCAAUAGGAAAAAGAUAAAUCCAAGAAAUUAUCACAAAAAUUGAAACAUCCACGUAUCAAUCUGGUAGACAAUCUAUCAUUAUGAAAAAUAUUCUAAAGUAAACCCCUUAGUCUAUAUCUAAAUUACCCACAUCUACCAUUAUAAAAAUAAUCUAAGGUAACUCCAUAAUCUUUAUCUAAAUUACCCUUGCAUGUCAUCAUAAAAAAUAAAUUAAAAUACUCUUCUAAAUUUGUAUCUAAGUUACCGGCAACCUAAAGUAAUUAUCUGUGUGGUCAUUAUACAAAAUGUCCAAAAGUAACCCAAUAUAUGAUACUAGACAUUUCUAUCAUUUUUAAUAUAGAAAUACAAAGUGAAUGUAUAUAUGCAUGAUGGGUGUUACCAUGUAGAACAUUUAUACAUGUAUGAGAGGAAGUGAUGAAAACUACAUGAUUUUCAUGUUAAGUACAAUAUAUGGAGUGAGAUGCAAAGUGAAAAAAGGUACGAAUAUGAAUGAAAAAAUAUAUAGAGUAAUUACUAAUUAAAAGUUAAUCACAACCCAACAAAGACAAAUGCACGUCUAUAUGAGUAUUGGUGUUAGAAUAUUAAAUAAACGAGAGGGUCAUAGGUAAAAAGUUUGAUUACUUACUAGGGUGUCUAAUUUUUAAAUUACUUCAUAAUACAAUGGCUUCUAAAAUUAUUAAUCCAUGCAGGAGCACGGAUUGAUGGUCUAGUUAUUCAAAUUUGAAUAGACUAGUAGAGACUUUGCAAAAGCUUGUAUGGAAAAAUAUUCUAUGAUUAGGUGAUACAAACAAACAUAUCGAUUAAAUAUGUAUAUAUCUUCAAAAAGGACUGCAAAUUGAGGCUAAAAUUAGUUUGUUUGAGUUACCAAUAUAAUGCUUGGAAAUUUUCUGUGAAGAAGCGUGAAGUUCUUCCGCUCGAGCACGGAGUUCGUCAUUGCAGCGCCACAUAGAGAGCUACAAAUAUAUCAGAUGAGACUAGCAACAAUAGGUAAUACUAGAUGAGCAUUAGGAAGCAUGAAUCAAACACAUUUCUACAAUACCUCGAACAUCAAUUCUUCUAUCUGAGAGAAGUACAAGUUUGACGCCAUCAUUCUUGCAAGCAAGCAUACAUCCCUUGUCACCUCUGGCGUAACUCUUGGAUUUCCUACAGAAACCAAACGUAUGGAGACUUGAAGGGGAAAACAAAUGCUAGGAACACUAAAAAUACUCAUCACUCAUUACUUAGACGCAAUCCGAAUACUUUUUUCUAGAGAAAACUAGAGUAUCACAUCAAGGAAAUUAAAAAGAAUUAAUUGAUAAUCCACUGCCACAAAAAUGUGUUCCGGAAUCAGAAGAUCAUUCGCAUCUGCAAAGGAGGAUUUACCAUCGCGGUCGCCACCCAUCCAAGAAGAGAACUGAAUGAGAGGAGCAUUGUAGGGGAGACGCUCAUCAAUCCCGAUGUUCUUUAGAGCUGUAUCCACACGUCGCAAAAACUUUGGGACACCCUUCCAUAUAGUUUCAUGAAAAUAGCUCAUCCCGUAACGCAUUUCAUCCUGUGGGGUUGGUUGUGCUCUCCGAAUUUCGUCUGUUCUAAAACAUGCUUGGAUCUGCGAAGAGCAAACACCAGGCAUUAGAACGAAUUGAAAUUCCCGAAGCAUUAAAAAACAGGAUCUUCACCCUGCCCUAGUUCAAGUGGACUGGAUCAUGAUGAAAUAAAAUAUGUGAAAGGUAACACUAGUAAUUUAGCAGAUUUCCAGUAAAAGAAUUCAAAAAUCUCUAUUGAAGUACUCAUAUAAUGAAAACCGUAUGGCACAGUGGAAAGAAGACAAUGUAAUAACACGACAGAACCAUAGCCAUAGGAUAAAAUUUUUACUGUUCUAAUGGCAGGGUAGUAAUAAUUGUGUAAACAAAAAAAUAGUACUAUUGUGUGUUUCUUAUUUGGAAUUGAAGGAAUCAAUAAAAAAAUUGUCAGAAACUUUGAAGAUAUUUUAUACCAAUUGCAGUGAGCUAGUUCCUUUGAGCAAGCACGAGUUCACUUUAAUCUUACUACCAACCUUUGGUACCAAUACUUUUCACCAGCUAAUAGAACGAUUUGAUAUUUGAACAAUCUUACUAUAUAAAUUGGAAGCUCCUUUCAAAGUUGCAAGGUGCCACCUAGGAUACUCUAAAAAAGAGAGAAAUUCUAGAAAUUCUCACAAAAUUAGAUGUUUCUGGCCAUCAAUAUGGUAGACUCUAAUCACAAUUGAUGAUAAUAGCCAUUGGAUCUAUUACGUUUUUUAAAAAAAUUACCCACCCAUGCUAUUAUGAAAAGAGUUUGUAACCUCCUAAAUCUACAUAUAAAUUCCUCCAAAUGAGCCGUAUCAUGUGAUGCUUGGUUAUGUAAGAUAAAUUGUACUACUCAUGCAAACGUUCGCGCCAUCUGCUGACUACUUGAUUUUCUGACAUUCCGGAGGACUCGGCCUUUAGCAAUGUUGCAGAGGUAAUUCGACAUCAUGCUCCUUUGUGAUUUAAGUGUUCCAUAAAUAAAUUUUCUUUGGAAGCUUCUCAUCAUAGUAUGAUCAUCUUACCAUUACUAAUUGAAAGCUCCUUUUGAGGCCUUCACAUGAAGCCACCUAGGAUCCUAGGUGGACACUCUAGAAAAAUACAGAAAUUCUAGAAAUUCUAUCAAAAAAGAAAAAUAUCUAGCCAUCAAUUAGGUAGACUCAAAUUAUCAUAGACAUUAAAUCUAUUAUAUUUUCUAAAAAUUACCCACCCUAACAUUAUAAAAAUGUCUAAAGAAACCCCCUAAAUCUAUAUCUAAAUUACUCACCACUACCAUUUUAUAAAAUAAACUAAAUUACCCCUAAUCUUCAUCUAAAUUUUCCACUUAUGCUAUUAUAAUUUUUUAAAAUAAUUCCAUAAAUUUGCAUUUAAAUUGCCCACCACUAACAAUAUAAAUUAAAAUUAAAAUUAAAGUAACCCCUUAAAUUCGCAUCUAUAUUACCCACAUAUCCCAUUAUCGAAAAUAACAUGAGGUAAACCUAAAUCUAAAUUCAAAUUAUAUCCAUUAAAAUAUAUCCUCACGGUACACCAAUAUAUGAUUCUAAAUUAUCUAUUUCUUACAUUGUUUAUAUAGAAAAUAAUAAUUAAGGUAUAUACGCACAUGAUGUGUAUCGCUGUUUAUAAAUAUAUAGAGGAUGUGUGUCGCCAUUUAAAAUAUAUUUCCAUGUUAAAAAUAUAGAUCAAACUUAGGGUCUAUUAAACAAAUUCAAGCAUAUACCUACAAUGCAAAGUGAAAAAUAAAGAUUAUAAUGUGGAUGAAAGCUUUAUAGAGUAAUCACUAACUAAAGUCUACCAUAAUCGGAUGAACAUAAUAAGUACAUACCUAUAUAAGUAUUGUAUUAGAAUAUUUAAUAAACUAGAAAGCGCUUAAGGUAACAAUUUUGAUUGUUAGCUAUGUGCCCUUAUUCUUUAAUUGGAGACUUCGUAUCAAUUCUCAUGACACGCACUAGCAAAAAAAGAUAAAUCCUACAAAUUCUCACAUAAAAGUGAAACAUUUAGGCAUCAAUCGUGUAGACUCUAAUAAUCAUAGUCAUUGGUCUAUUAUAUUUUCUACAAAAUUAUCCAACACUAUAAUUAUGAAAAUAUUGUCCAAAUUCUCCCUAAACCUAUAUCUAAAUUAUCCAUCUCUACCAUUAUAAAAAAAUAAUCCAAUGUAACCCCAUAAUCUUCGUCGAAUUAUCCAUUCAUGUUAUUGUGAGAAAUAACUUAAAAUAUCUUCUCAAUUUGUAUUUAAAUUAACACAUACGUGGUUAUUAAAAAUAACCUAAAGUAAGUACCUAAAUCUACAGAAAUAUCCAAAAUAAAAAAAAUAUGAUUCUAAAUUACCUAUUCUACCAUUAUUAAUAUAGAAAUACUAAGUUAAGGUAUAUAUGCAUGAUGGGUGUCACCACAUGUAGGCGAUUUAUAAUUGUAUCAAUGUAUGGGAGGAAGAGAUGAAAAAUAUUGAUUUUCAUGUUAAACACAAUGUAUGGAGGUGCGAUGCAAAGUGAAAAGGUAUGAACAUGGAUGAAAAAGUGUAUAGAUUAAAUAACUGGACAAAGAUAAGUACACAUCUAUAUGAAAUUUGUGUUAGAAUAUUAAAUAAAUGAGUGUGUCCUAGCUAAAUAAUUUUGAUUAUUAGAUAGAGGGUCUAGUUUUUAAAUAGUUUUCUAAUACAAUGGCUCUUAAAAAUGUUGACGUACGAAGAAUUUUUGGGCCCACUAACUUACACGUGUCAUGCUGAAUGUCAUGAGCUCACAAGUCCACAUAUUGUGUUCUAUACUAUCUUUAUCGGAAGAAGAAUUUAACGACAAAAAGAGAUGGGCAGUCACUCUUCAGCCUCACAUGCAUGGGAGAAAUGUCAGAAUGGCCUGUCUGGUACCCUGGCAUGGCACUUGUAUGAUGCAACCGAGCAAGAACAAGAGUGAAAAGGAGGGCCUUAAUGGUGAUAACAACACUGCCGUAAUAUCGAUUGCAAUAACAUGAUCGUUUUCUUGGAAUUCAUUAGGUAAACAAAGUCAGAGCCUCAAAUUUGCAGGAAUUAUCUUGAUUCACUAUGCAAAAGUUUUGAUGUUCACUAGUGUUGAAAUGUAAGUACCUCCCUCUGCAGAGCCUCGUCGAGCUCCUGCUUAUCGUCCUCCGUGAUGUCCUUGGCAUACAGCUGCGUGAGGCAGUUCCGGAUCCUGCGUGCAAGGACAAGACGAACAUUUCCGUUCCGUAAUAAUGAAGAAAUGGAUUGGAAUUGUUCACGGAUUUGGAUGCAGAAUAAUGACCCGUGUACCUGGCGUGCUUCUGGAGGAGCGACCUUCGGACGGACUGCGUGGGGUGGGCGGUGAAGACGAGGUCGACGGUCUGGUUCUUGAGCGCGUCGAAGACCUCCUCCUUGGACUUUCCGAGCUCUGUGACGAGGCGCUUGAGCGUCUCCUCGAUGUCAGACUCGGUGGCAGCGAAGCCCUCGUCGGCGAAGUCCCCGCGCUUGAGCUUGUUCCGGCGGAGGUGGGCGAGCUGCACCUCCUCCGCGAGGUUUGUUAGGUUGAGCAUGUUCGAGAAGGAGCUCGCCACGACGAUGGCGUCAUUGGGGGACAGCUUGGUGAGCCUGGACCCGAGCUCGCUCAGCUUCGCGGCGUCGCGAUCGCGCUCGUACUCCGCCGCCACCUCGUAGCACUCCUGGAC
rnacentral:lncRNA from 1 species